rnacentral:rRNA from 1 species
GACGAACGCUGGCGGCGUGCCUAAUACAUGCAAGUCGAACGCUGAAGGAGGAGCUUGCUUCUCUGGAUGAGUUGCGAACGGGUGAGUAACGCGUAGGUAACCUGCCUGGUAGCGGGGGAUAACUAUUGGAAACGAUAGCUAAUACCGCAUAAGAGUAGAUGUUGCAUGACAUUUGCUUAAAAGGUGCAAUUGCAUCACUACCAGAUGGACCUGCGUUGUAUUAGCUAGUUGGUGGGGUAACGGCUUACCAAGGCGACGAUACAUAGCCGACCUGAGAGGGUGAUCGGCCACACUGGGACUGAGACACGGCCCAGACUCCUACGGGAGGCAGCAGUAGGGAAUCUUCGGCAAUGGACGGGAGUCUGACCGAGCAACGCCGCGUGAGUGAAGAAGGUUUUCGGAUCGUAAAGCUCUGUUGUAAGAGAAGAACGAGUGUGAGAGUGGAAAGUUCACACUGUGACGGUAUCUUACCAGAAAGGGACGGCUAACUACGUG